GCAGGGGUGUGAGCUGACCCAUACUGGAUGGAGUUCAACAACUGGGAAAGCUCUGUAACCUACCAAGUGGAUGCUGGUUACUUGAAGACCUGGCCUGAGGUGUCAGGCUCUCUUUAAUCCAUCCUUUCUCAACAGGCCAUAUCAGGAGUGUAACCCUACUGCCUUAGUUAACAGCAGCAGCAGUGCAGUACAGGCAUCUGGAGCCUAGAGGACAAGGUGUGUGCUACAAAGGGUGGGGCUGGAGAAGUGACCCAAGUCCUUGGAGGAAUACAGAAGAUGAAGAGCUUCUCUGAAGAACACCAGUGGAACUCCUUUGUUAAUUAAAAGUGCUGAGCACGAGUGCAUUGGAAGCAUUGUAGAUUUGCAUGCACCAUCACUGUGACACUAUGCUCUGUUAUUAAACAAGCC
rnacentral:lncRNA from 1 species